GCCCUUGAGUUCAGAAUUAGCAGGGGAAAGCUUGUCUUCUUCAUCAACAGGGUCAAGUCAUAUUGACAUGAAGAGGAGGAACAGCAAAGCUAUAGAGGAAGGAUUCAGAAGGACCUUCCAAGCUGAAACUGGAAUUAGCAGACAGAAAGAUGGAAGUAGUACUAGUAAUGUUGAUAAUGAAGAGCAGGAUAUAUUAAAGCAGCAGCUUCCAUGGCUCUCUCAGGUCUUGACCCUCAAUAUGACUUAAGUGUCUUUCUCUCUUCCCUUCAAUUUGGUUUGAAAGCAUGAAGCUUUUAUUAUUAUUCUUCUUCUUGUAUACUUUCUCUGGUUAGUUUCCAGAUGGAAGUGUCUCAGGAAUGAUGUCAGUCUGUUUGUGUAAAAAUGACUAGUUGUUUUCCUCUCACCUUACCUAGCAAUUUAGUCAACGACUCUGUCUCGUUGUAACCUGUCUUUCUAGUUUUUGAAAAUCACCUUGGAAUAUGAGGAACAAGAACAGAAUGGCAUCAUACUUACAGACUGUCAUCUAUUUACAACCCAUUAAAGGAUCUUUUAAUUUCGUGAAGAAUCUAAUGACUAUAUUUUAUGGCUGAAAGAGACGAUAUAAACAAGGGAAAGAAAAAGGUUUAGAUCACCAUAUUCUAAACAAACUAGUCAAUGGAGUAGGACAGACAACUAUAAACACACCUUUUAUUUCAAUAUGGAAAUUCUUUCCCAAACCAUUCUGCAAUUUCCUUUUUUCAGAACAAGACCAGUAGUGGGAAAUCCCCGGUUUUUGUUUUCUGCUUCACCUGAAAAGUGAACCACAAGCAUAAACUGAAGUGAAGAAUCCCAUUUCAAGACAAGAAUACUGUGUACAUUGCCUGCUAAGCAAAAUAGAGAAGAAUCUUACUUACCCCACCCGAGCCUUUCCCCAAAUUCAAGCAAGUUGGUUGGUCGGCCACCGUAUGAGCAAUAGAUUCCCCAUGUCAAUAAUCCAAUGGUCCUGUCCUGAAAACUAAAGAAGAAAGAAAGAAAGAAAGAACAAAAGGGAUAAGGAAGGAGCCUGGUGGUACUAGCCUUUAGAUAAAUAGAUAGAUAGAUAUAUAGUACAUAGAUAGAUAAAUAUAAGAAUAUACAAUCUAUAUCUGACCUCUGCAACCAUUAUUGUUUUCUUUAGUAAGAUGAUAAUCUGAAUCAGACAUCAACUAGGGGCAUGCACCCACUUUGUGCAACCCUGUCCCAUGACCUACUUCCUCUACUUUUCCAAUCCCCCUUUUAUCCAAUAAUAAUUCAUACUCUGACCUCAAAAAUAUCAAAG
rnacentral:lncRNA from 1 species